UACAGAGACUGCAAGCGUUGUUCGGAUUCAUUGGGCGUAAAGGGUCCGUAGGCGGUCGGUUAAGUCGGAUGUGAAAUCUCACAGCCUAACUGUGAGCGGUCAUUCGAAACUAAUCGGCUAGAGGGCUGGAGAGGAGACUGGAAUUGUCGGUGUAGCGGUGAAAUGCGUAGAUAUCGAGAGGAACACCUGCGGCGAAGGCGGGUUGCUGGGCUGACACUGACGCUGACAGCGCGAAAGCUAGGGGAGCGAACGGG
rnacentral:rRNA from 1 species